rnacentral:rRNA from 1 species
CAAUAGCCUAACGGCUGAACCAGCAACUUGGAGGAAUGAAUUGCGCAGGCUUAUUGUAGUAAUUAAUUAUUACAAUAUUAACUAUGUUAAAUAAAGUUCUAGAUAAAAUUAUGAUAAUGACAUUGUUUAUCUAUAAGUCUUGACCAAGUCACGUGCCAGCAGUCGCGGUAAUACGUGGAAGACAAGUGUUAUUCAUCUUUAAUUGGUUUAAAGGGUACGUAGACAGUUAAUUAAGCCAAAACAGGGACUGAUUAUACUAGAGUUUAAUGUAAGGAGGGGAGAACGAUGAGUGUAGAGAUGAAAUUUGUUGAUGCCAUUUUUGAGACUGGCAACGGCGAAAGCAACCUUUUAUGUUAAAACUGACGUUUAGGGACGAAGGCUCGAUCAACGAACAGGAUUAGAUACCCUAGUAUUGUGAGCAGACAAUGAUGAGUGUCAUAUAUAAGUAACAUUAUUUAAUAUAAAAUGCUUGUGUAUAAAUGAAAGUGUAAGCACUCCACCUCAAGAGUAAUAUGGCAACAUAUAAACUGAAAUCAUUAGACCGUUUCUGAAACCAGUAGUGAAGUAUGUUGUUUAAUUUGAUGAUCCACGGAAAACCUUACCACAAUUUGUAUAUUUAUAUAUAUAUAAGUACAAGCGUUGCACGGCUGUCUCCAGUUAAUGUCGUGAGAUCUUGGUUAGUUCCAUUAAAUUAACGUAAACCCUUAUUUUAUUUUUUAUAUAAAAUAGUUCGCCGCUAUAUUGGUAAUAUAUAUAUAUGGGACUAAGACAAGUCAUCAUGACCUGAAUAUUGUGGGCUA